GCGUUCUCUUUAUUACCAUUCUGAUUCAUAUCACAUAAAGCAGGAAGGAAACACAUCACCCCAUGGUGACCCUGUGCAAAGCAAACAUGCCAGUCUUAGUCUACAGGGAGAAGAACCACCAAAGAACAUGGAUUCCUUCAUUUGCAUUCUUGUAAAAGACUUGGGAUUUAAAUACUCGUUUAAGCUUUAUCAUAGAUGAAUAUGGUUUUAAUAAUUCAGCAAAGGGCCCUGAAUAGAGCCCAGCUUUCCAUUCAGGUUUUCGUGUCUUUCUCGGUUGCCAUUUUAUCUCUGUCAAACACCUCAUAAUUUGUUUUCUGUAACUGGUUUUCUGUUUUGUGCUUUUUAUAAUGUCAGCCUCUCUGAGCAUCUCAUUGUACUUGAUUUUAUUCAGUGUCUCUCACUCGCAAACAGUGUUUCCCUUCAAAAGUUCACAGUCUGGUCUUUUCCGCCCAGCUUUUCACUUUGCUUUCUCUCCUAUUACUAAUGAGACCGUGAUUCUUAACUUGCUUUCUUUGAGUUAUUUAUAUCUUCAGGCCUCUGUCUAAUAGAGAGUCUGACUUGGCAUUCUUUUCCUGCUGCACGAUGACCAAAUUAAGUUAAGGAGCAACUCCUAAGAAUGCUGGCCUGUGGUUCUUCACGCUCCUCUGGUAUCCUAAGCACUAGACAGUGUGUUUAAUUUUGAAAGCUGAUGUCACUAGCUAAGUUCAUAGUUGAUGUCAGGUGUGACUCAAUAGUGCUUUCCAGAAUAACUGCCCCAGACAGGAAGACAGCGAGCCAUGAAUAAAGAAUGGAAGCAGCCUAGGUGGUGACUAUAAAUACGUAAACGUUUUUCAGAUGGUGCCCUAUCUGCUUUCCAUCAAUCAAUCCAUCAAAUGAAAGGCUCGAUGUCUCCUAAUGAUGGGGCACCUCCUGAGAGGGUCUGCAACAGAACGAGAGGCUUGUGUAUCAUCUCUAACUAAGCUCCUUCUACCGACUGUUAACACUUCCUUUACCAAAAGAGCUUUUCAGCUUUCGUCUAUGGAAGAUGCAGGGAGGGUUUGGUUUUGGUUGUUUGGUUGUUUGUUUUUGUUGUUAAGAUUCUGGAAGCAUUAUCAGGACCCAUUCCCGAAGGCACUUUAGUGAUAGUGUAUAUUCGGGUAUACCCUUCGGGCUACUUAGUUUUGAGUCUCAGAGUCACCACAUCUCUCUCCCUUAGCCUUGCUUACCAGUGCCUUUUUGUUUUGCCUAAUCCUUUCCACUGCAUAUACUUCCUACCUCACAUUGUUCCAGCACUGUGACCCCAAAGCAGGACAGGCUAACUAGCAAGGGUUCUGACUGGCCCAGCUUGGGCCAGUAGUGGUCAGCUGUCCCGAGCCACAGUGAAGAAGUUCUCUAGCUGAUCAGAACCGAGUCAUGUCCUGGCUUUGAGAUCAGGACGACAACUUUAUUACUGGAAGGCCCGGGGGUGAAAACACAGACCACUGGCACCACAUCUAAAACUGUACCCAGCCCCUAGUUAGGGAGUGGGAGAGCCUCUGGUUGGGGAGUGUGGAUACAGCUAAACAAGGACAAAUCCUCUGUGAGGAAUAAGUAAGGGGAUGCCUUUCUUCAGUGAUGGAGUUUACAAAGAGCAGAAAGCAGAAACCUUUGAGUAACGUUUCUACAGGCCCAAAUAUAGCCAUAGGUGCUUCCACACAUGCCUGACGCUGCUAGAAGCUGAGUUUGUGCCAACUUCCCUGCCCUCCUCAGCAGGGUUAAAGCCCAGUAAGAUGGAGGCCACAGCUCUCAACAGCACGUGGAUCACCUUCCUUCGUGUUUCUUCUUCUCAGCUGCUCACAGUGAUGUCCUCCCCUAACCCCUGCUAUCCAUCCCGGUGGCUGCUCUCACACUGCUGCUAAACUCUCCCCAUAUGACUUAUUUGGGCCACUGGUGUAAUAGCAAAUGCGACAGAAGCAAAAUUUUGAGGAGGGUUUAUGCACUGGGAUCAGUCCAUGCAUACUGCUCUUUGGAAAUUGAGAUGAGCAAGGGAAGAAGCCGGGCUUUGCUACUAAUUAACUCAUGGCCGUAUAGAGGAGAAUGGGGUUAUUCAAGCUGAGCUCCUGAGCCUGUAGUCUGCCAAACCCACAGACCAUGAAUAAAGCCAUUCUAUACUAACCAACCCCAGCUGACCUAGGCCAAAAUAACCACCCAAUUUAUCCACAGAGUGAUGAGAAGUGAUAGUUUUUGUUCGUGUUUGCUAGGUAUUGAACCCAAGGCCUCCUCGUACGUGCUAAGGCUUUCUGCCACUUAGCUACAAUCCCCAUCCCUUGAUUGCUAUUUUAAGGUCACUAGACCUAUGGGGUAAUUUGUUAUGUUAGAAAAGUUAACCAAUAUGCCAGUGUUCUUCAAGUGUUUCCCAUAAGGCUUUUCGUAGAGCAGUGACUAGUACACCAAGGAGAAAGUGUGUUGAUUAGAGCUGUCGUUCCAAUCACCAGAUUUUUAUCCAGAUGCUCACAUCAGCCAGUGUUCUGAUGGCCUCUCAACGCCUAAGUCUUGGCAUCCCACAACUCCUCCCCAAUCAAAGGUGAGGGAGGGCAAGCAGAGUGAUAGGAGGACAGGCUCUUAAGGCAACACGUUAUGUCACCUAAGAUAGCAGCUCUUGAAGCUCUGAGCGGGAGCUGAAAAGUGUGUGCGGUAAGCCUAGCUUCUCAUUUCCUUUUGUUGUCCAGAGAUACUUCUAAAGUUUUGUUUGAAUGUUUCAAACUGUCCUCAGCUGGUUCAAAAGGAACUAAAAAGCUCAAGUUCACGUUUCCAGGGGGACACCAUUCCCGUGUGACUGUUGGGUUGUUGUAGAACCGUCGGGGAAGAGGCUCUCCUGCGCCUACCUAAUGAAUUCUGGAGGAAGGAGCACUUGGAAGCCAGCUGCUGCUCAGCGCCACUCGGCCAAGUUCUCUGUGAGGCUGUUGCUUGUGCGUCGUGGCUAAGGAAGGCAAGCAUGAGUAGGCGCAGAGCCAUGCUCUUUUCCCUUCUGACAGACACUGAUGUCAUCCCUCAGAAGAGUUCAAGGAAUCCAGUUCACUCAGACUUGGGAAGAAGGAAGGAAGGAAGCAGAUAUUCCUGGAGAUCUCUGAGCCACGGUUCAGACCUCGGCCUCCACGUGUACUAGGCUGCAGUCCAGUGGAGUGACGGCACGGCACUGACGCUAGGUUACACGAGCUCCAAGAAACGGAGAGCCGAAGAUCUCAAUAGAAACAGACGCCUAGGUUAGCAGAGUUGUGACCACAGCUGCCAAGCAACUCCUGCCUCACUCUUCCUUGGCUACCAGAGAAGGGCUGGGCUCUCCCCGCAGUGAACCAGGCGAUGGGAAACCUAAGAAAACCAUGGCUGAUCCUGACGCUGGCCAGCGGGAUGAAGCACACUCGGACUGCUUCAACCCACCAGACUUGGGUCGUGUACACAGCUUGAGAACCCUCUCAGAGUCAUAUUCAUGGAGGGAGGAAUGAAGGAUCUGAAGGAGGACCCUAACCAGCCUUUAAUCCCAGCACUCGGGAGGCAGGGGUUAGAUCGCUGAGUUUCAUAGGGAAUUCCAGGCCAGCCAGAAUUACAGGUUAAGAACUUGUCUUAAAAAUAAAUGCAAUUUUUAGGGCUGGUGAGAUGGCUCAGUGGUUAAGAGCACUGACUGCUCUUCCGAAGUUCCUGAGUUCAAAUCCCAGCAACCACAUGGUGGCUCACAACCAUCCGGAAUGAGAUCUGAUGCUCUCUUCUGGUGUGUCUGAAGACACCUACAGUGUACUUACAUGUAACAAUAAAUAAAUCCAAAAAAAAAAAAAUAAAUGCAAUUUUUAAAAGGAGGGAUCAUUUCCUGAAGUAGAAAUAGAACAGGUCUGAGUACUUGUAUUUUUCUUACCAAGUUCUGUUGCUUCCCAGUUUAUCAUUCAUUUAAGACAUUGGAAAAUAAUAGAGAAAAAUUUAAAUAGUGACAUGGGAAUGAGUUCUGGCUAAUGUCAUGGGUCAUGACCUUUAAAAAAAUUUAAUUAUUAUUAUUUUAUGUUAUCUGUACGUGUGUGUUCCUAAAUGUAUGUACACCACUCGGGCACAGAGGUGACCUCUUGGAGGUCAGAAGGGAGCAUUGGCUCCCCUGGAACUAGAGUUACAGGCAGUUGCGAGCUGCCCUGUGUGGAAACUGGAAACCCUGGAUCCUCUGCAGGAGCAGCCAGUGCUCUUAAUUCCUCUGCCUGCCUGUCCAACCCUGCUAUUGUCUUCUCCAUCUCCUU
rnacentral:lncRNA from 1 species